rnacentral:rRNA from 1 species
GCAGAUAUCAGGAGGAACACCGAUGGCGAAGGCAGAUCUCUGGGCCGUAACUGACGCUGAGGAGCGAAAGGGUGGGGAGCAAACAGGCUUAGAUACCCUGGUAGUCCACCCCGUAAACGUUGGGAACUAGUUGUGGGGUCCAUUCCACGGAUUCCGUGACGCAGCUAACGCAUUAAGUUCCCCGCCUGGGGAGUACGGCCGCAAGGCUAAAACUCAAAGGAAUUGACGGGGACCCGCACAAGCGGCGGAGCAUGCGGAUUAAUUCGAUGCAACGCGAAGAACCUUACCAAGGCUUGACAUAUACGAGAACACUUCAGAAAUGAAGGACUCUUUGGACACUCGUAUACAGGUGGUGCAUGGUUGUCGUCAGCUCGUGUCGUGAGAUGUUGGGUUAAGUCCCGCAACGAGCGCAACCCUCGUUCUAUGUUGCCAGCACGUAAUGGUGGGAACUCAUGGGAUACCGCCGGGGUCAACUCGGAGGAAGGUGGGGAUGACGUCAAAUCAUCAUGCCCCUUAUGUCUUGGGCUUCACGCAUGCUACAAUGGCCGGUACAAAGGGCUGCAAUACCGUGAGGUGGAGCGAAUCCCAAAAAGCCGGUCCCAGUUCGGAUUGAGGUCUGCAACUCGACCUCAUGAAGUCGGAGUCGCUAGUAAUCGCAGAUCAGCAACGCUGCGGUGAAUACGUUCCCGGGUCUUGUACACACCGCCCGUCAAGUCAUGAAAGUCGGUAACACCUGAAGCCGGUGGCCUAACCCUUGUGGAGGGAGCCGUCGAAGGUGGGAUCGGUAAUUAG